rnacentral:lncRNA from 1 species
GUCCCCUUGUUCCUGCAGUUAAAGUCAAGAGGCAUGAAAUUAAAAGUGACCCAACUCCUCUAGGGUUUGAAGGAUGGCCCACCCGGCAGAUGCCUUCUCUAGAUACAUUUGAAGAUUUUGAAGCGAUCCCAUCCAGUGCUGAGGAACUUUCUAAUUCUUCAGAUAUGGAGGAGGAAAGCCAACCUAACAACGGAUCCAGUCUUUACCGGGUAGAAGGCAAUUUUGACACCUGUUUCCCAGAUUCCCUUACUCUAGAGGAUGGAGAUUUAGUGCAGUUUAUACAGGAAGGCGAAGAUGGACAAUGGUUAGUGAAGAAGCUGGUUUCUGAGAAAACGGAUUGGGUCCCUUCCAGCCUGCUACAGCCAGCAGAGGGGGAUACCAACACCAUCUACAGAAUCAGCUAUGCCGACAUGUACCAUGGGACCUACGGGACUGCCUCCACAAACUCUGAAAUCAAGGCGAGUGAACUGGCUAGAAACCUAACAGCUGAACAGAAAGCUGGGAGCUGA